rnacentral:rRNA from 1 species
UACGUAGGGGGCGAGCGUUGUCCGGAAUGAUUGGGCGUAAAGGGCGCGUUGGCGGCCUGUCAAGUCAGUAGUGGAAGUCCAUCUUUCAAGGAUAGAAGUGCUACAGAAACUGAUGGGCUUGAGUGCAGGAGAGGUUAUCGGAAUUCCCGGUGUAGCGGUGAAAUGCGUAGAGAUAUGGAGGAACACCAGUGGCGAAGGCGGCUUCCUGGUCUGUAACUGACACUGAGGCGCGAAAGCGUGGGGAGCAAACAGGAUUAGAUA